UACGUAGGGUGCGAGCGUUAAUCGGAAUUACUGGGCGUAAAGCGUGCGCAGGCGGUUCGCCAAGUCAGAUGUGAAAUCCCCGGGCUCAACCUGGGAAUUGCAUUUGUGACUGUACGGCUAGAGUGUGUCAGAGGGGGGUAGAAUUCCACGUGUAGCAGUGAAAUGCGUAGAGAUGUGGAGGAAUACCGAUGGCGAAGGCAGCCCCCUGGGAUAACACUGACGCUCAUGCACGAAAGCGUGGGGAGCAAACAGG
rnacentral:rRNA from 1 species